GAAUAGACAGGAAGACAGAGGACAUGAACGCUGAGGUUAUCAAGUCUAUUUCCUAACAUGAAUGCUCCUUCCCAUCUGAUAUCAUGUGAGAGUAUAUUCCUUAUUCCAGACUAUUAAUGAAGACAUUAACUAACAUGAGAUCUCAUGCUGUGGUAGCUCAUGAGAAGUCUCUUUGCAACUCCAUGUCUGUGCAACUUUUGCUGUUGCUCCUGGACCAUCAGUCAGAGCCUGGGGAACAUGGCACAGUUUGCACUCCUGCAAAAGUCUGAGAGAGAAGGCAGAGCCAUGGAGAGGGUUCAGGAAUGCCUCCUGCUGCUCUUCCCAGCUUUCCAAUUCUGUGCGUCCCUCCCUUCCAUCCUGCCUGCUUGUUGGUUUGCCAAGCUGUACAAUGGGAACGAUUGGACCAGCAGGGCUGAGCCUUCCUUAGAGGAGGAAACUCUCUUUAAAGACACAACCUCAGCAGCAUCCAGCAUCUCCUCAACACCUUUAAAGCAGCUGCAGCAGCACCCGAGGCACACCCCUCCCAUGUGAACCACCAAAAUGCAGCUUGCAAGAGAAGCGCUUGAUGGAGGCCUCUAAACAGAGCUGUUCUCCUCAGCAGCCUGAAAGAAGCCCUUUACAAGCAGCAUCAUAGUGAUGUGCAGGCACCGUCUGCAUUGGGAGCACUUUGUAGCCCCUGCACCUGGACCAGCUAUCUGCCUCCCCACUGGAAAUUCCAGCACGGAGAAUACUGAUUUGCCACUUCAAUCACCGCCUGACAAACACAGUCUCUGCAAAGUGAGAGCCAAACCAUAACAGAUGAUUACCAGCAGACCUAACUCCAGAAAGACUAUAUGCUGCUGUGCACAGCUUUGCUGUGAACCUCAGAGCUUGAAUCCUGCAGACGUACUCACCAAGCCAGCUGGUUCCUUCCAGCUCUUCCAGACAUUUUUGUUGCAGGUAAUUUCAAACAGCAGUAUUGAAACGUGUAGCAGAUUGUAUCCCAGGAGCAAGGGUUUUUCUCGAUGGAAAAAAGCAACCACCACGCUCAAGUCAUUAAACACGCCUAUUGCUUAUUCACAAGUCUAAGAAUAAAAUGUGUUCUCAACAAAUAAAAGAGCUUCUU
rnacentral:lncRNA from 7 species